rnacentral:antisense_RNA from 1 species
CGCACACGCGCCGGACCGGGUACCGCUGUGCCCGGCCUGGCCGCGGCCUAGUCCCGGCAGACGGGACUGACGAGGUCACCAAGCCCAGGCCGAGACGGCGCGGGUGUCAGGGACUUGGGAAUCCCCCUCCCCCAGUCCCGAUCCCGCUUUCCUUUGGGGUUUCACCUCAGAGGACCCGACAUCACUCUUGCAGUUUCCUCAUCAAGAUGGACUGCACCUUCUGGCAUCUCAAGUGGUUCUUGUGAAGAUUAAAUGAAUCCAUCAGGCCGGGCGCGGUGGCUCACACCUGUAAUCCCAGCACUUUGGGAGGCCGAGACGAGCACAUCACCUGAGGUCAGGAGUUCCAGACCAGCCUGGCCAACAUGCUGCCAGCAGCCUUGAAGCCACCUGGGACUGCACAGUAUGUUUGUGUGUGCCUUGAUCGCAUCACCCCCUGGACCUCCAGUGACCGAGAUCUCCCGCCAGACACCCGGGGCUGAGUCCUCGGAGAAGCCGCCUGCCGGGUGCAUCACCAGGACUCCAUUGGUGGUCAGUCCAUCCAUCAGGCCAUCUGGGGUCCGCCAUUUGGCCGCUCGCUCCUGGGACCACAUGAGGAAUCAGAUCACAUCCCCCAGGGGCCCCCCAGCAGGCCAUGUGCCAGAGGCACUGCCCCCCCUACCCUCAAGUUCAGAGGCGGCCCAGAGAGGACUGGCAUUGAAGCUGCAUGACUUGAGCGUCUCUCUGGGCCUCACUUUGCUCAUCAGUUAGGUGGGGUUGCUAACUGCCAGGACCACCAUUUGGAUUACUGUGGGCUGGUUCAUCACCUCAAGAUGCUGCACCUCCCAA